GCAGCAGAUCUCAUUAUAUGUGGGCAGAGUAUGUGUAUUUUGCUUUUUCAAGGCCAAGGUUAAGAAAACACUGGAUUUUUUUUUCUUUUUGUUUUUUUUUUUUUCUUUUUUCUGUCAUAAGGUGUAGUGGGUUUACGUGGCAAGGUUUUGGUAGCAGGGGGUCAUAGGGGUGGCUUCUAUGAGAAGGAUCUAGAAGCUGCCCCAUGUUUGGUAAGGGCCCCACUGCUGACCAGAGCUGAGCCAAUAAGUGAUGUUGUUUGAGCCUCUGUGAGAGCAUAUUUAAGACAGGGAAAAAAAAACGCUGCACCACACAGCAGCUGGGAGAGUGAGAGGAGUGAGGAACAGCCUUGCAGGCAGCCAAGGUCAGUGAAGAAGGAGGGGGAGAGGUGCUCCAGGUGCCGGAGCAUAAGUCCCCUGUGGCCUGUGUUGAGGACCAUGGUGAAGCAGGCUGUCCCCCUGCAGCCCAUGGAGUACCACGGUGGAGCAGGGUUCCACCCUGCAGCCCGUGGAGGAGACCACGGUGGAGCAGGUGGACCUGCACCGAUGGAGACUAUGGCCUGUGGAAGACCCCUGCCGGAGCAGAUUCCAGGCCGGAUCUGUAGCCCGUGGAGAGGAGACCACGCAGGAGCAGGUGACCUGGCAGGAGCUGCUGCCGGUGGGGGAUCCAGAGGUGAGGGGUGGAAGAAAAAAAUAGUAUUCUGUUGGAUUGCCACAAAUCUGAAGAGACACCAUUGACUCCUACAGGAUUACUCUGAAUUAACAACAGUGUGACUGAAAAUAGAAAUUGAUUCUUUUGGAUUUAGAUUAGAAGAAAAGAAUCUUAUUCCAACCUUUCUGAUUCUGGAAGUUCACAGACAUUUAUGUAAUUUGUUUCUUAUUGAACAUCAUAACUAGCUGAUAACUGGAAAAUCAGAAAACUUGAGUAUAAGCUUGUUAACCAGAACUACAAUUGUUUAAUCAGCAAAACCCCUUCUACUCAUACUUACACCUUUUAACAACAUAACACCACUAAAAACAAGACUUAUAUCAUAUGGAUUCUUAGUAUGAAACGAAUCAGUGAUUCCAGAGGAGCUGAUGCUAUAAAUGACCCAAGUUUAGAUCUGGCUACAUGCAGGACUCUCUGAAGGUGCCAGGGCUUUGGGGCACUACAUGACUACAACCACUAUCAUAUGUAAUGUGGAGACAAAUCCACAUGCCGUUUAUGUCAAGUCUAAAGUACUUAAAUUUAAGAGGUAGAUGCAACUCACCCAGCAGUUAACCUUUCAGCAGUAGGGCUUAACAUGCCAAUGGACUCUAAAGUAUUUGAUGAUCUGUAAAGCUGACUUUUUGAUGUACUGUCCUUUUUUUUUUUUUUUUCUUUUUCAGAGAUUCACCAUUCUGUCACAAAGAAAUGCAGGUCUAUUCUUUGGAAUGCAUAUUUUUUGUAUCUUAAAUGCAAUAAUAAACAGAUGCUCCCAUGGUAUGGGUGUGUUCA
rnacentral:lncRNA from 1 species